CUCAAACCGCUCCGAGUACGUGCUGUGAGAGCCAUGUGGGCAAUGAAGACAGUCGCUGAAGCAAUUACUGAAGAAUUAGUGACUACCCUGGAAGCUUUUGGAAGGCAGAGACCUUCUCCAACAACAAGCACCGCUUCUGGCUUCAGGCGUGAGCAGGAUUUUACCUGUGGCGCACAGAAGAGCCGGUACGUGCCGGCAGACCUCAGAAGCAAGGCAGGUGGAAGGACUUAGAAGAUACCAGGGCACAGAAGGGGAUGAGGAGAGCAGAAUGCUGUCGUCUUCAGCAGCAGUGUCUGGGGAAGAGCUCUGUCCUGGCAGGACUACCUGUACUCCAUCUGGAGAGGCAUCUCGAUACCACAUCGGCGGAGCUGGAGCUACAUCUGUUUCACCAAAAAAGAGGAGAAAGCCAGCACAUGAUUUAUCCAGCAGGAUGGAGCCAGCGGUGCUGUGGCUCGGGGGAGGCGAGGGGCAGCAGCCGAGGGCUGGAGGUGGAACCCCAUCCUGGAGCCGAGUCUGUUGCGGUGAUUGUGCCGGGGCUGUGCCUCUGGGGCUGGCGGAAGAGCUACAGAGGUGACGCUGUUUUUCUGCAACAAAGGGUCAGAAGUCCCUGGUGAGGAGCACAGCCCGGACGAUAUGGGGAGCACAGGAGGAUGCGGGCACAGGAGAAGAUGUCAGAUAAGUGGUGCACAUAGCUAAGAAUAAGUGCUAUUUCACCUCUUGCCCGCCUUCCGCCAACUGCCUGGGGCCAACAUUUUAGGCUUCAGCUUGAGCUGCGAAGAGUAAGUGACGUUAUUUUCCAGGGACCUUAUUUGAAGGAGCAGGAGCCGGAUUUUGCCUUCCUUUACUCCUUAAGGAGCUGCCGCAGAAGGAAAGGGCCUGCGUUUGCCCGUUCCCCGCAGCCCUCGCUGGGGAGCCGCGCCACAAGAAGUGCUGAGCAGGAACGAAGCAUGCCGGCAUCACGCUGGGUUAGUUUUCCUCUUGGAAAUAAAACGCGGAGCAAGCCGCAGCUGAGACAAGGUGACUUUUGGUUUAUUCAGUGCGUUGUUUGCUUAAUCCCCGGUAUCAGGGCUCUGGAGCAGACCUUGCCCUGCUCCUCAUCCUCAGCUUGUCCCACAGCUCCUGCGUCAGGAGGAGCUUGUUGCUGUGCUGGUGGAGCUAAAAGGCGGCAGCCAACAGCCGUGGCAGUCUUGCUGCAGCGGCUCUUAUUUCCUUGCGGUGGGUAAGUGCCAGAAGGGGCUGUUUCUCUGCCUUCGUGGAUGCUCCCUUCAGCCCAGCUUGCUCUUUACUCCGCUUCAGCCAAGGGCCCAGCAAACACAGCUCCCGCUGCUGAAGUCCUUGUUCCGAUACGCAUCAUAAACGUUGCCGUUAAACGAAGGGUACGAAGUGUUUAUGGGGGGCCGGGUGGGGGGAGAGUAGGGCACCCGGAAAGACAAGGGCACCCCAAGUGAACUGGAAGUUGAACAGCGAUGGCUGCGGAGGCUGAGCCGUGUGAGGGCAGAAAACUUGAGGGGCUUUUUU